UGGACAUCCUUGGAUCUUUGAUAAUCAAGAUUUAGUUCUCACCAUGCCAUAUCUCAUAUGGUGUGGUAGGAACAAAUUUAGAAAGAACCCAAUUCUAUAGAAAUAAAGCAUGUCCCUAAAGAAAUAAAAAAACCAGUGAAGUCCAUCAUGGAUUGGACCAUAUCUCAUAUAGUCCCAUAACUCUUCUUAUCUCGUUAAGCUGAGAUGUACUAAGAGGGGUCCAAUAUGAAACUAUUUCAUUUUAUGAGAUAAUCGAGAAUUUUUUUCAUUGAU
rnacentral:lncRNA from 1 species